AGAUGCCUCACGCAUGUGCUGCAUGGGAUUGUACAAAUCGCUGUACGCUCCAAGCCAGAUCCCGGGGGAUUACAUUUCAUAGUCAUAUUUCUCCAUAAAGGCAGAGAAUAUCAAACCAACUUUGAUUACAUUGAUUAAAUAUCGAAAUGAGUCCAAGUGCCCUCUUUGUAAAAAGCAAAGUGACUACAGCAUCCUGCUGCCUUCCUUCAGAGUCAUGAAGACCACAUUGUCAAGUAUGCAGGUUUCCAAAGAACCAUUUUGUGGUGUCUCUGUAUUCCAUCCUCGUGGCCCCCUUCAGUUUUAAUGAGCAUACUGUCCAUAGUGGAUUUGAUGUUCCAGAAACGCCUACCUUUCAAAAUCCAGAUACAGUAUUUUAAAUGUAUGUUUAUAAUGGUUUGCAUAAAUAUUUUUGUAACAUUAAACUCCUUUAAACAACGUGACU